rnacentral:lncRNA from 1 species
GCAGGGCAGACAGUUCUGAUGAACGCUAACCAGUAGACGGUAACCACAGUGAUUGGCAGAGCUUGGACGCCAAGUCUAACCUGCUCUGAGCUGAUGUGCACUGUUGGCUCCUGUUGUGCUGCACAGGCCUCCGUACAAACGGAACUCAAGAGCAUACACCACUCAUCUCUGCUAGUGGAUCACCUCUGAACGCUGUCUGCGCUGGGCUGAGGAUGCUCAUUACUGAAGUUCAAGGUUCUUACUGAUGUCACUGGAAAAUUUGUCUCUGCUCUGAGAAAUCACAGGGUCCCCGGAAGGCAAUCAUGUGAAUUCAGUCAUCAGUUACAUUUCGCCAAGAAUUAAGUCACCCAUCAGCUGACUCAAGGCUUCAACACAUGUCUAAGCUCAGAGAUGCUACUGGUCUCUUCCACGACUUGUUCAAGAUGGAUCUAACACUGAUGAACCCCAUGCCAACAAUUUGCUUCCCAACGUAAAGCUAACUUGGAGUGUGGGAGACGCACACUGAAAUCAUUCUCCUCACAUUAUCAUUAACUUGGGCUCACGAUAAGCGGCCAUCACAGGCUCAGAAGUGGACUUUACCCAUCUUGGACACAAAGCAGUGUUUGUACCAGAAUAAAACGGAAUAUGACUCAUAUACAAAUGGAGAACCUUGAAGCCUAUGAUGUACAUUAUAGAAAGCAGAAAUAGGAAAUGAUGCUGUGCAUUCUAGGUUGAUCCUUUCUAUAAUUAACAAUGUAUUUCUUUCAGGGUUAGUCUUUGUGACUCGUGAGGUGACUACACUAACACCUGGUGUUGAUAAGAUGGCAUGAAAACAGCCAGCUCUGGAAGUCGUGCGGAGUGAUGGCUCAGAAGUGAAUAGUGCUUGCUGCUCUUUCCAAGGACCCGAGAUGGGUUACCAGCACCCAUGUUCUCCAGAUCACAGUCUUCGCUAACUCCAGCUCCAGGGCUUCUAACCCCCUCUUCUGGCCUCCAUGGUACCUUUACUCAUGUGCCUGACAUCCUCCCACACAUACUUAAUGAAAAAUUAGAAUUAAAUCUUUAAUAAUAAUAAUAAAGAGUCCCGGAAGAGUUUCACAUUCUUUUCAGUGCUACUUAUUAUAUUCUGAAGAAUUAUUUGGGGGGCUUAAUUAAAAUAACAAUGUGAGGCAGAAUCAUAACACUUUCAAAAUAUUUAUACUGAAUACGUAUCUUUUUUUAACUUAGGAAUGUGUGUGUAUCUCUCAUGUGUAUUUAG